CACGUAGUUAGCCGUGGCUUCCUCCUCUGGUACCGUCAUUAUCGUCCCAGAAAACAGGGCUUUACAUCCGAAGACCUUCAUCACCCACGCGGCGUUGCUGCGUCAGGGUUUCCCCCAUUGCGCAAUAUUCCCCACUGCUGCCUCCCGUAGGAGUCUGGACCGUGUCUCAGUUCCAAUGUGGCCGAUCACCCUCUCAGGUCGGCUACGCAUCGUUGCCUUGGUAGGCCGUUACCCCACCAACUAGCUAAUGCGCCGCGGGUCCAUCUCAAAGCGAUAAAUCUUUGAUAAGAUAAUCAUGCGAUUUUCUUAUAUUAUGGGGUAUUAAUCUCCCUUUCGGGAGGCUAUCCCCCACUUUGAGGUAGGUUACCCACGUGUUACUCACCCGUCCGCCGCUAUCCACUUCCCGAAGGAAGCUUCAUCGCUCGACUUGCAUGUGUUAAGCACGCCGCCAGCGUCGUCCUGAGCCAGGAUCAACUAC
rnacentral:rRNA from 1 species